CUUAAUUUGUAGUAUUGUUUGUGCAUUUUGCCAUGCCAUGCCUCAUUAAACCGGACAUGCAUCAUACUUGAUUGUGAAUCAUGCCAUGAUUAUGUGAUGGUUGAUUACCAUGUUGUUUGCUUCUUUCCGGUGUGCUUCUUCGGGUUGGUUCCGUUAACGUCGUGUUUGUGAGGAUUCGUUCGACUUCAUCCGUUUGUCUUCUUCAUGGACUCGUUCUUCUUCCUGAGAUACCGCCUCGAUCACGGUCAGUGGAGCUCGCCAUCGAGGCUAGGGCCCAGGAUCUUCUGGCGGAGGCAAAUAGGCAGGCUAAGCAGAGGGAGAUGGAGCUGGACGAGAGGACGACUAGUCUGUUGGAGGCGUAGAGGAACCGGAACGACGCGUCUCACUGGGCCCUAUACGAGCUCCUCGUGUCCGUGUGCGAGAAAAACGGUUAGACCCCUCCGCUGAUGCCCCAGAUUGCUAUAGCGGACAUGCAUGCCUCCCGACAAGCAUCGACCGAUCCUUC